GGCGGCGGCAGACACUUGGGGUCUGGACGCAACGGAGGCGGGAGCGUGAACGCCCCUCCAGCCUUCGAGUCGUUCUUGCUCUUCGAGGGCGAGAAGAAGAUCACCAUUAACAAGGACACCAAGGUACCCAAUGCCUGUUUAUUCACCAUCAACAAAGAAGACCACACACUGGGAAACAUCAUUAAAUCACAGUGUGACCUAAAGGACCCGCAAGUGCUAUUUGCUGGCUACAAAGUCCCCCACCCCUUGGAGCACAAGAUCAUCAUCCGAGUGC
rnacentral:lncRNA from 1 species